rnacentral:lncRNA from 1 species
UGAGGAAAAUGGGAGGAGGGAAGGAUAAGCAUGAUGGGGAAGGCAGCGGCGACAAAGGAUUACAUGGACAUGGUUAUCCUGGAUAUCCACCAGCAGGGUAUCCUCCACCGCCUGAGGCAUACCAACCACAGCCUUACCCCCCUGCACCUGGUGGAUUCCCUCCUCAAUAUGGGUAUCCUCCUCAGGGGUAUCCCCCUGCUGCAUACGCCCCUGCACCUGGUGGAUACCCUCCUCAGGGGUAUCCCUCUACUGGUGGAUACCCUCCUCAGGGGUAUCCCCCUACUGCAUACCCACCUGCAGGUUAUCCUGGUUCAUCUGCUCCACCACAUCAAGGUAUGAAUUGUUACUCCAAAUGCUAAACCAGUUCAUGCAAGUUGCUUUUAACAAGUUGGUUCAUAUUAUUUCCCAAAGAAUAGAAAAAAAGAAUAAUGAUUUCGUUAAAGAAAACUUUUCAGUUCAUUAUUUGCAACAUAGAGUUCUGCUGAUUUUUAGAAUGCUUAAAUUUUUCUAUGAAGACUGCAUGAAUCAUUCUCACAAGCACAUCAAGAUAGCUGUCUAUGUGCUGCUGCCCCACAUCAAGCUAUGAAUUUCUAUUGCAGGUGCUAAAUUAGUCCAUUCUACUAAGAUAUAUGUUCGUCACUGAAUUCCUACCAAGUUUUUUUUGUUCUUUUUUGAAUUCUUAGCAAGUUGAUCAGAAGCAUUUCUCAUAAACAUAACAAUAACAAAUUAUUCUCACAAGCAGGGUUUCUAAUUCUCUAAGCCACAGUUUUUCA